GGAUCUUAGCUGUCCCGUGACACUUCCUACGGCUGCCAUAGGGUCUCAGAAGGCGGUAAAAAGCUGAAUCGUGGCUUUGCAGGCUCUGGCUGAAAAAAAGUAGCGCGUUUGGGUAGUGGCUGGUUACAGUACUGUGAGACUCAGGCUCGUGCCCGCGUCGACCGAAAGCUUUGUUUACUUUCCUCUGUUUAGCUAAAUGGACAUUCCCGGUCGGAAUAUUAUCGCUUUUUUACGAGAAAAAUGGCAUAAAAAUGGAUUUUAAACAGCGGUUGACAUGCUUCGAAGUACAGUAAUGGAAUAUUUAGAUUUUUUUUGUCACGAAUUGCGCCAUGCGCAAGACCCUGAUUUACCAUUUCAGAUAGUGUCUGGGACGCACGAACAAAACGCCGCUAUUCGGAUAUAACGAUGGAUUAUUUUGGACCAAACCAACAUUUGUUAUUGAAGUAGCAGUCCUGGGAGUGCAUUCUGACGAAGACAACAAAAGCUUACAGAAUCCCUGGCCCUAACCUUAAACUUCACAAACACACAGCACUUUGUACAAGGUUGGUGGGCUGCAUCCAACACACAGAGGGGGGCAGAGACACGGACUUUACACAGACCCGGUGACAACAGCCUUGGAAGCUGGAGUAAACACCAGGGCUCUUUCUCAAUUUCUCUGUCCUUGAUUCCUUGCAUCUGUCACGUCCUGACUAGUAAAGGGGUUAUUUGUUGUUAUAGUUUGGUCAGGACGUGGCAGGGGGCGUUUGUUUAGAGUGUUUCGGGGUUUAUUGGGUAUGUUAUUAUGUAAGAGGGGUGGGUUUGUGUUGUGUUGUAG
rnacentral:lncRNA from 1 species